rnacentral:piRNA from 7 species
UGGUGGUCUAGUGGUUAGGAUUCGGC